rnacentral:rRNA from 1 species
AUUGAACGCUGGCGGCAUGCCUUACACAUGCAAGUCGAACGGUAACAGGUCUUCGGAUGCUGACGAGUGGCGAACGGGUGAGUAACACAUCGGAACGUGCCCGAGAGUGGGGGAUAACGAGGCGAAAGCUUUGCUAAUACCGCAUACGAUCUCAGGAUGAAAGCAGGGGACCGCAAGGCCUUGCGCUCACGGAGCGGCCGAUGGCAGAUUAGGUAGUUGGUGGGAUAAAAGCUUACCAAGCCGACGAUCUGUAGCUGGUCUGAGAGGACGACCAGACACACUGGGACUGGGGAACGGCACAGACUCCGACGGGAGGCAGCAGUGGGGAAUUUUGGACAAUGGGCGCAAGCCUGAUCCAGCCAUGCCGCGUGCAGGAUGAAGGCCUUCGGGUUGUAAACUGCUUUUGUACGGAACGAAAAGACUCUGGUUAAUACCUGGGGUCCAUGACGGUACCGUAAGAAUAAGCACCGGCUAACUACGUGCCAGCAGCCGCCGCCGUAA